GAUGAAGAACGCAGCGAAAUGCGAUACGUAGUGUGAAUUGCAGAAUUCAGUGAAUCAUCGAAUCUUUGAACGCACAUUGCACCUCACGGUAUUCCGGGAGGUAUGCCUGUUCGAGCGUCAUUUGUACCCUCAAGCUCUGCUUGGUGUUGGGUGUUUGUUCCGCCUCUGUGUGUGAACUCGCCUCAAAACAAUUGGCAGCCGGCGUACUUGUUUCGGAGCGCAGCACAUUUUGCGAUCCAGAUCAACGUACAGCGGCAUCCAAGAAGCCUUAUUUAACGCUCUUGACCUCGGAUCAGGUAGGGAUACCCGCUGAACUUAAGCAUAUCAAUAAGCGGAGGA
rnacentral:misc_RNA from 1 species